CGGGCUUUCCUUAGGGGCUGGGGGGCUAACCAUGGCAGCGAGUCCAAAAGGGAGAGGGAGUGCAUCGUGGCAGAAAUCGCUCGUCUCGACUCGCAGGCGGAUGUAAGAACCUUCUCUGGUGCCGAAUGGGAGCUUAGAUACUCCCUUGAACACCAAGUCCUGGCUAUUCUCAGGGCGGAGGAGGAAUAUUGGCACCAAAGGGGUGGUGUCAAGUGGGUCGUGAAAGGUGACGCCAACACGGGUUACUUCCACGCGUACGCUAACGGUCGCAAACGUAAGAGUACUAUUCUUAGGCUUCAGUCGGAGCGGGGGACAUUGAUUACCCAGAACGAGAUAGUUAAGUACAUCUUUGACUUCUUCGUUGAGCUGUUGGGAGCAGCCGAGGCUAAGAGUCUAAGUCUACAGGGAAGACUUAUGGGGACUGCAUGA
rnacentral:rRNA from 1 species